rnacentral:tRNA from 1 species
GGCGAGGUAGCUCAGUCGGUUUAGAGCAUCGGAUUCAUAACCCGAAGGUCGGGGGUUCGAGUCCCCCUCUCGCUA